AGAGUUUGAUCCUGGCUCAGACGAACGCUGGCGGCGUGCUUAACACAUGCAAGUCGAACGGUGAAGCCUUCGGGUGGAUCAGUGGCGAACGGGUGAGUAACACGUGGGCAAUCUGCCCUGCACUCUGGGACAAGCCCUGGAAACGGGGUCUAAUACCGGAUAAUACCUUCUCCCGCAUGGGAGUGGGUUGAAAGCUCCGGCGGUGCAGGAUGAGCCCGCGGCCUAUCAGCUUGUUGGUGGGGUAAUGGCCUACCAAGGCGACGACGGGUAGCCGGCCUGAGAGGGCGACCGGCCACACUGGGACUGAGACACGGCCCAGACUCCUACGGGAGGCAGCAGUGGGGAAUAUUGCACAAUGGGCGAAAGCCUGAUGCAGCGACGCCGCGUGAGGGAUGACGGCCUUCGGGUUGUAAACCUCUUUCAGCAGGGAAGAAGCGCAAGUGACGGUACCUGCAGAAGAAGCACCGGCUAACUACGUGCCAGCAGCCGCGGUAAUACGUAGGGUGCGAGCGUUGUCCGGAAUUAUUGGGCGUAAAGAGCUCGUAGGCGGUCUGUCGCGUCGGAUGUGAAAGCCCGGGGCUUAACCCCGGGUCUGCAUUCGAUACGGGCAGACUAGAGUGUGGUAGGGGAGAUCGGAAUUCCUGGUGUAGCGGUGAAAUGCGCAGAUAUCAGGAGGAACACCGGUGGCGAAGGCGGAUCUCUGGGCCAUUACUGACGCUGAGGAGCGAAAGCGUGGGGAGCGAACAGGAUUAGAUACCCUGGUAGUCCACGCCGUAAACGUUGGGAACUAGGUGUUGGCGACAUUCCACGUCGUCGGUGCCGCAGCUAACGCAUUAAGUCCCCGCCUGGGGAGUACGGCCGCAAGGCUAAAACUCAAAGGAAUUGACGG
rnacentral:rRNA from 1 species